UAGGGAAUCUUCGGCAAUGGACGGAAGUCUGACCGAGCAACGCCGCGUGAGUGAAGAAGGUUUUCGGAUCGUAAAGCUCUGUUGUAAGAGAAGAACGAGUGUGAGAGUGGAAAGUUCACACUGUGACGGUAUCUUACCAGAAAGGGACGGCUAACUACGUGCCAGCAGCCGCGGUAAUACGUAGGUCCCGAGCGUUGUCCGGAUUUAUUGGGCGUAAAGCGAGCGCAGGCGGUUAGAUAAGUCUGAAGUUAAAGGCUGUGGCUUAACCAUAGUAGGCUUUGGAAACUGUUUAACUUGAGUGCAAGAGGGGAGAGUGGAAUUCCAUGUGUAGCGGUGAAAUGCGUAGAUAUAUGGAGGAACACCGGUGGCGAAAGCGGCUCUCUGGCUUGUAACUGACGCUGAGGCUCGAAAGCGUGGGGAGCAAACAGGAUUAGAUACCCUGGUAGUCCACGCUGUAAACGAUGAGUGCUAGGUGUUAGACCCUUUCCGGGGUUUAGUGCCGUAGCUAACGCAUUAAGCACUCCGCCUGAGUACGACCGCAAGGUUG
rnacentral:rRNA from 1 species